rnacentral:lncRNA from 1 species
GAAACGAUAUUUCGGACUCAACGGUGAAGGCGGAAUUUCCAUUUGGAUAUCGCUUCGAUGAAAAGUGGGUCCCGCACCCAGUAUCGUUUGAGCCAGAUUCCACAACUGCCAUCUAAAGCCUCGGGAAGUGAACAAAGGGUCGUUCUAGACCAAAAUCGAUCUUCCGAAGCUAACCUAGCUGUCAGAAUUUUCAUCUGAG